GGGUGCAGGAGUAAUCUAGCAGUGAUAUGUCACCCCACUGAUUGCCAGCGUUGAUUUGGCUGAUCUGGCUACUAGACCGGUGUCCCCUCCCUCCCCCUUCCAUGUGCAUCCCUCCUGUGCUGUACACUCAAAAAGGAUGACCUUCCCAGAUACUAUUCUUCCAUUAAGGGUAUAGGAGAAGCUGCGCACCACUUAGAACCUCCAAAAGAGCUUUUGAGUUCAAUUUGUAGGAGAAUGUAGGGUCAUCAAGAUUCCAGAACUCCAGACACAUCCAAUGAAGCACUGCAUGUGGCAGUCUGCCUUUU
rnacentral:snRNA from 1 species